AACAAAAUAAAACCAAUGACACCAAAUCAGAAGUAUUUAAGGAUCAUGGAUUAGGGCACAGGGCAGGAAGAUGAGAACCAGAACUCAACAAGCUGACAUUUAGUAGACAGGGUCCUGACCUGAUACUCAGAUACCCUAGCUCAAGGGGCCCUGAAAAGAAAAGUGCAAGGCAUCAAUUUGGUGGGAAAUGGCCACCAGAAACCGAAUAUUGAAUAAUUCUGGGGAAGAAAUUUGCAUACUAAGAAGAAAACUUUAAAUAUUAACAGUCAAAAAGGAGGUAGAUAUAUUAAAUUCCUUCCAAAAUUUGAAAAUUUUUCAGAAGAAAAUUAUGGGCAACAUUCCCAUUCCCAUUAAAAUAUAGCAUUCAGUCCAUUAAGCAUCUGCCUUCAGCUCAGGUUAUGAUCCCAGGGUCCUGGAAUCAAGUCUCACAUCCGGCUCCUGUCUCCCUCUGCCUGCGGCUCCCACUGCUUGUGCUCUCUCUAUCUCUUCUCUCUGACAAAUAAAUAAGUAAAAUCUUUUUAAAAAAAUACCACAAUAAAAUAAAAUACACCACGUUGUUGGAGAGAGAUUUACUUCCAUCACACACCCUUUUGCCAGACUUCUGUGUGGCAGAGACCCCACCAGCCAAGCAGGAACUGAAGGUCUGGAAGCUAUGGAGGUGCAUGACCUGGUAAGUCCCUGUGCCAGAAGGGAGGACUAGCUCAGCUGAGCAGCCUCAGGGCAGAAUGAGCAAGAGAGGCCAGCCCUACAAGGCACAGCUUGGGUGUACUAUCACAACAUAGAACCUCCCCUUUCCUCAGGCCAGCUCAGACCCCAUCUGGAUGUGGCAACCACUCCCUUUCAUUGAACAGAGUGGCAGGGGGGGGGGGUGCAAGGUGCCAGCUUUUGCUUUGUCUUCAGCCAGCCUCCUGCUCCCUCAUCAGCAAAAGAACAUAAGAUACCAUACCAUUUAUGUAAUUUUUUUAAGGUAGGAAAAGAAUUAAUUGGUAAAAGCAAAUCUUUGAAGGCCAGCCUGAAUUUAGACUUACUUCAGCAAGCAGUGAGCCCCUAUUUUUGAAUGAGUGAAUCAUCAAAAGAUUUUGAACAGGAAACCCACACUUCUGCUGUAAUACCAGUCUGGUAGCUUCUUAACCUGGGUUCCACAGAAAGAAUGCAGGGGCCUUGUAUCCUUGCAUGGGAGGAAAAAAAAAUCUUUAUUUUUAGGAAAUGAAACAUUUCCUUCAAUUAAG
rnacentral:lncRNA from 1 species